GCUCAGGUAUGCAAGUGGUUAAAGCAGACAGACUGUAAAUCUGUCCCCGUAAGGGUUCGUGGGUUCGAAUCCCACCCUGUCCACCA
rnacentral:tRNA from 2 species